GAAAACAAAACAACCCUCUUUGGUUUAUGCUUUAUGCGGUCGUAUGGUUUGGCAUGCAAAGACGUGGCAGGUCUUCUGCCUUCGAUUUCUAAGACACGUCAGUAGAUCCAAAUGUCCAUAAUGUGUCAUUUUGCACUCCUGCCAAAACCAGCUUUGUCAUAUAUGAUUUGUCUUUUGCCCAUUUCCUUAUUCAAUUCAUCCAAAAACAAUCUUUCUAUUGUUCACAUUAUGUUGACAUUUCAGGCAAACAGUUUCC
rnacentral:lncRNA from 1 species